rnacentral:rRNA from 1 species
AUGGCCUCGCUGCUGCGCCUCCCCUCGCUACUCGCGCCGGCGGCGGCCAGACCGGCGGCCCUGCUCCGCCACCGGGGCCGCUGCCUCCACACGUCUCCGGCGAGGCUAUGCCCUGCCGCUACGGCCGCGGGUGCUUCCUCGGCAGCGCCCGUUAAGAUGGAGACACGCGGCGGCGACAGGGAGGGGCAGGUGACGCCGCGGUCGACGGACUUCAACGCCUGGUACACGGACGUGAUCGACGCCGCCGAGCUCGCGGACUACGGGCCAGUGCGGGGCACCAUGGUCAUCCGCCCCUACGGCUACGCCAUCUGGGAGGCCAUACAGGAUUAUUUGAAUGUAAAGUUCAAGGAGACGGGGCACAGCAACAUGUACUUCCCUCAGUUCAUACCGUACUCGUUUAUAGAGAAGGAGGCCAGUCAUGUCCAAGGGUUUAGCCCGGAGCUUGCAGUAGUUACCAUUGGAGGAGGAAAGGAGCUGGAGGAAAAACUUGUGGUAAGACCAACAAGUGAAACCAUCGUAAAUCACAUGUUCACUAAAUGGAUCCAGAGCUAUCGUGAUCUCCCUCUCAUGAUUAAUCAGUGGGCCAAUGUGACAAGAUGGGAAAUGAGGACUAAGCCAUUCAUCAGAACUCUUGAAUUUUUAUGGCAAGAAGGUCAUACAGCUCAUGCAACCCUUGAAGAGGCAGAGAAGGAGGCGAUGCAGAUGAUUGAUGUAUAUACCAAAUUUGCUUAUGAGCAAGCUGCAAUACCAGUUAUUCCAGGCAGGAAAUCAAGAGUGGAGACAUUUGCUGGUGCUGAUCGGACCUACACUAUAGAAGCUAUGAUGGGUGACAAGAAGGCCUUACAAGCUGGAACUAGUCACAACCUUGGCCAGAACUUCUCCCGUGCCUUCGAAACACAGUUUAUGGAUGAAAAUGGUCAACUUGAGCACGUAUGGCAGACUUCUUGGGCUAUUAGCACUCGGUUCGUUGGUGGGAUCAUCAUGACCCAUGGUGAUGAUGCUGGUUUAAUGCUUCCACCAAGGAUUGCUCCCAUUCAGGUGGUAAUAGUGCCUAUUUGGAAAAAGGGUGACGAAAAGGGUGUUGUUAUGGAAGCUGUAGCUUCAGUUCAGAACACGCUCAAAGAAGCAGGCAUUAGAGUCAAAAUGGAUGACUCGGAGCUGAGAACACCUGGGUGGAAGUUUAACUUCUACGAAAUGAAAGGAGUUCCCAUAAGGAUUGAACUUGGUCCCCGCGAUGUAAAAAACAGGAGUGUUGUGCUUUGUAGGCGAGAUGUCCCUGGAAAGCAAGGAAAGGAGUUUGGAAUAUCUAUGGAACCAUCAAUAUUGGUGGAUCAUAUAAAAGGCCGUCUAGAGGAAAUUCAGGCAUCUCUUCUACAGAAGGCCAUCACAUUUCGUGAUAGUAAUAUAGUUGAUGUCAACUCAUAUGGAGAACUGAAGGAGGUCAUUUCCGAGGGUAAAUGGGCAAGAGGUCCAUGGUCAGCUAGCGAUGCGGAUGAGCUGAAGGUGAAAGAAGAGACCAGUGCCACCAUCAGGUGCUUUCCCUUUGAUCAGCCGGAGGGUGCGAAAAAAUGUUUCAUGACCGGCAAUCCAGCCGAUGAAGUUGCUAUUUUUGCAAAGUCAUAUUAG